CUUUGGAGAUUUUAAUAUUGAUUGGCUGAAUCCUAAAAAUAAUAGUUCUUGCUUGCUGUUUAAGGUAUACCCUGCUGCGUAAGGUGAGAGUAAAAGGGGCACAUAUGAAUUGGAUCCCAGCCGACCUCAUUCAAAUGUACCAGUUUUGGUAUUCAUUGUGGUUAAAGUUUAAGCAUACUGGCUCUAUGAAUGAUCACUGUGCAUAUAGACAAU